GAUGAACGCUGGCGGCGUGCCUAAUACAUGCAAGUCGAGCGAACAGACGAGGAGCUUGCUCCUCUGACGUUAGCGGCGGACGGGUGAGUAACACGUGGAUAACCUACCUAUAAGACUGGGAUAACUUCGGGAAACCGGAGCUAAUCCCGGAUAACAUGUUGAACCGCAUGGUUCAACAGUGAAAGACGGUCUUGCUGUCACUUAUAGAUGGAUCCGCGCCGCAUUAGCUAGUUGGUAAGGUAACGGCUUACCAAGGCAACGAUGCGUAGCCGACCUGAGAGGGUGAUCGGCCACACUGGAACUGAGACACGGUCCAGACUCCUACGGGAGGCAGCAGUAGGGAAUCUUCCGCAAAGGGCGAAAGCCUGACGGAGCAACGCCGCGUGAGUGAUGAAGGUCUUCGGAUCGUAAAACUCUGUUAUUAGGGAAGAACAAAUGUGUAAGUAACUAUGCACGUCUUGACGGUACCUAAUCAGAAAGCCACGGCUAACUACGUG
rnacentral:rRNA from 1 species